ensembl:lncRNA
CGGUGAGGGCGUGCGACCGGGCCCAGGCCCCGCUGGGGGGAUGCCGGUGCUCGAGAUGUGCAGACUUGCCGAAGGGUGCUUAGGAGGUGUGCUUGUUUUGCCUGGUUUGUAACACAAGAGCGGAAGGAUAUUAAAUGGAGUUUUGAGGUUGCUGUGCUUUAAAUGUCACUGCUCUGGACUUAAAUAACUUCUUAGUGUCGCUGCAGGAUAAUGGAAAAAAAAACCCGUGAGAUUCAGAGCAGUUGGGUGACUCUGGAAAUCAAGGAUACUCAGGGCAGUAGCGGAGGAUAAUAUUAGAAGAAGAGCGUUUGGCAGAAAAUGACCGCAGGAUCUCAGGUUUAAGUGAUCCUGAAUGUUUUAGGAUUAUCAGGGUCGCAGUUUGCGCUGGUAUUUCUAGCAUUUACUCUGAGGUAUCUGACUUUCUCCAGUACGGAAACUGGCUUAACUUCUUGGACUAGCAUCGUUCAUGUAUGUUGAUAGCUUAGUCCCACCACCUGUGUUAAAGAACUGGAUUGGUGUAAGGCAUUUGCAACUCAUGUCCUCAGGGAUUAAGAAGCUAGUAGUAGUAAUAGUGUGACCAGAUUAAGAACAAAUCUACUGAGAGCUAUUGAGAUGAGUAGGAAAUGCUCUGCUGUUUUCCAGUAGGUGAUUUUUCUAGGGCUGUGUCAUCAUGACAAAUAUAUCUGUUUUGAGUCUUUCCUGGAAGAACUUCUUAGGAACUGAUACUGUAAAACAGACUGCUAUAUAUGUAUAUAUGAAUAAAUAUAAAACUGUAUAUUUUAAAACUUUUGAACUUUGUCUUUGCUUUUACUUGAAAUUUUUUAUGAAGUUCAGUUUUGCUGAUGUCCUGUGCUUCAAGUAUCAUUGGAUUUACCUAAAUAAGAAAUUCAGUCGUCUUAAUUUAGGCUUUGUUCCACCCGAAAGAAUUAAAUGAUUGAAACCAUAGAUACUUACAAUUUCUUCUCGUGGACAGUCAGUAUCAAUAUGGAGGCGUAGGCACCUUAGAAGGGACUUCAGUCUGAACUCUGGGAGGUAGUUCUGUGCACAAAUAAAGAAACUAAGGCUUCAAAAAAAAUUUUUUUUUUUUUUAAUCUGAGGAUUCUGUUUGUUUCUGUAUGCCAUAAACAUGGAAUACAGAAAAAACUCAAUUCAACAUUAUAAAGCAUUAGAAUGUCCCCAUACAAGGCAAUUCAUUUAUGUUAAAUUUGAUAACCCUAUACCUGUAACUAAGGCACCAGGUUAAAACUGAAAUGCCCCGUUCAGUCUGUGCUGACAUUGUUAUAGACAGAAAAGCCUGAGGCUAUUCCAGGCUUGUUAAUUAAGACAGUUCAUCCUUGUCAGAGACAGCGUAUAGGAUUUAUCUCGUAGCUGAAUAUUUGAUACAUGUGAAGUUGAGUAUAAGCUAACUUCUUUAGUCUUAAUAAUUACUACAACGAUAUGCAGAAGUUGAGGGUUUUUUGGAAGUCUAGUAGUAGCAAAUAUACCAGAUCAGUUCAGUAAUGUCAGUUGAGGGGCUCUUUUUUCAUAUGCCUUUUGGGCUUGAUAAACCAUUGUUUUCAGCCUCCUAAUGAGGUUUACAAACUAAAGUCUUUACAUGUGUAUAAGCUGCAUAUUCAUCAGCUGUCUAGGGUGAAAUAGUUCUUAAUCACUUAACAUAUGUUCUGGUUAAAAAUGAUGGCAUUUUAAUUGGCCCCCGUUUUAGUUUCUUUAUUGACAAAGGAUUUUGAUAAACCCAUCUGAGGUUUUUCCCCUCUGGAUCCCACCUCCACUAGCCUGACAAAUUGAUACUGCUCUCCCAGACAUACAGUACAAGGAAAGCAUGUGAUGCCCCUAUGAUUCAAGGGGAAGUCCUUUUUGACAUGCUUUCUUCAAUUGUCAAAAUGGGAUGGGGCAGCUUUUGCACUGAAAGCAGUUGUGUAAGCUAAAGUACAAGAACUUCCCAAAGGUUUAAAAGCUGUUAAUCAUGAGGCUAAUUCUAUUCACAUAUGCAUUCAAAGUAUUUCAUUUUCAGGUUCUUACUUUUGUACAGGCAGGGGUUAUUCCGAAUUGCCUUUAAUGCACACAACUACCUCCCAGAGGAAGACUUGUCCCAU